AGCGAACAGACGAGGAGCUUGCUCCUCUGACGUUAGCGGCGGACGGGUGAGUAACACGUGGAUAACCUACCUAUAAGACUGGGAUAACUUCGGGAAACCGGAGCUAAUACCGGAUAAUAUAUUGAACCGCAUGGUUCAAUAGUGAAAGACGGUUUUGCUGUCACUUAUAGAUGGAUCCGCGCCGCAUUAGCUAGUUGGUAAGGUAACGGCUUACCAAGGCGACGAUGCGUAGCCGACCUGAGAGGGUGAUCGGCCACACUGGAACUGAGACACGGUCCAGACUCCUACGGGAGGCAGCAGUAGGGAAUCUUCCGCAAUGGGCGAAAGCCUGACGGAGCAACGCCGCGUGAGUGAUGAAGGUCUUCGGAUCGUAAAACUCUGUUAUUAGGGAAGAACAAAUGUGUAAGUAACUAUGCACGUCUUGACGGUACCUAAUCAGAAAGCCACGGCUAACUACGUGCCAGCAGCCGCGGUAAUACGUAGGUGGCAAGCGUUAUCCGGAAUUAUUGGGCGUAAAGCGCGCGUAGGCGGUUUUUUAAGUCUGAUGUGAAAGCCCACGGCUCAACCGUGGAGGGUCAUUGGAAACUGGAAAACUUGAGUGCAGAAGAGGAAAGUGGAAUUCCAUGUGUAGCGGUGAAAUGCGCAGAGAUAUGGAGGAACACCAGUGGCGAAGGCGACUUUCUGGUCUGUAACUGACGCUGAUGUGCGAAAGCGUGGGGAUCAAACAGGAUUAGAUACCCUGGUAGUCCACGCCGUAAACGAUGAGUGCUAAGUGUUAGGGGGUUUCCGCCCCUUAGUGCUGCA
rnacentral:rRNA from 1 species